GUGGGGAAUAUUGGACAAUGGGCGAAAGCCUGAUCCAGCCAUGCCGCGUGUGUGAAGAAGGUCUUCGGAUUGUAAAGCACUUUAAGUUGGGAGGAAGGGCAGUAAGUUAAUACCUUGCUGUUUUGACGUUACCGACAGAAUAAGCACCGGCUAACUUCGUGCCAGCAGCCGCGGUAAUACGAAGGGUGCAAGCGUUAAUCGGAAUUACUGGGCGUAAAGCGCGCGUAGGUGGUUUUGUAAGUUGGAGGUGAAAUCCCCGGGCUCAACCUGGGAACUGCCUCCAAAACUGCAUGACUCGAGUACGGUAGAGAGUAGUGGAAUUUCCUGUGUAGCGGUGAAAUGCGUAGAUAUAGGAAGGAACACCAGUGGCGAAGGCGACUACCUGGACUGAUACUGACACUGAGGUGCGAAAGCGUGGGGAGCAAACAGGAUUAGAUACCCCGGUAGUCC
rnacentral:rRNA from 1 species